rnacentral:misc_RNA from 1 species
AAGUCGUAACAAGGUUUCCUUAGGUGAACCUGCGGAAGGAUCAUUAAUACGUAUCCAACGUUAAACACUUGCUUCGAAGCCCUCCGGAAUUGCAAUCCCUAUUGUUGAACAGAUUUUGAUUCAGUUUGAGCGAUCGUGCGCAAGUACCUGGUUUCCCCAAGCAGUCAGUAAGGAUAACGCUUUUCGAUCACUGGAGGCCGACACCGGCCGGUGGACAGGUUGCAGUGGCUUAACGGCCCCAUAUUAACCCCACUACCUGUACCGUAGGAAACUACUGGGCAACAAACGAACAACUGUUAACAAUGGAUAUCUUGGUUCUC